rnacentral:rRNA from 1 species
GAACUGAAGAGUUUGAUCAUGGCUCAGAUUGAACGCUGGCGGCAGGCCUAACACAUGCAAGUCGAGCGGAUGAAGGGAGCUUGCUCCUGGAUUCAGCGGCGGACGGGUGAGUAAUGCCUAGGAAUCUGCCUGGUAGUGGGGGAUAACGUCCGGAAACGGGCGCUAAUACCGCAUACGUCCUGAGGGAGAAAGUGGGGGAUCUUCGGACCUCACGCUAUCAGAUGAGCCUAGGUCGGAUUAGCUAGUUGGUGGGGUAAAGGCCUACCAAGGCGACGAUCCGUAACUGGUCUGAGAGGAUGAUCAGUCACACUGGAACUGAGACACGGUCCAGACUCCUACGGGAGGCAGCAGUGGGGAAUAUUGGACAAUGGGCGAAAGCCUGAUCCAGCCAUGCCGCGUGUGUGAAGAAGGUCUUCGGAUUGUAAAGCACUUUAAGUUGGGAGGAAGGGCAGUAAGUUAAUACCUUGCUGUUUUGACGUUACCAACAGAAUAAGCACCGGCUAACUUCGUGCCAGCAGCCGCGGUAAUACGAAGGGUGCAAGCGUUAAUCGGAAUUACUGGGCGUAAAGCGCGCGUAGGUGGUUCAGCAAGUUGGAUGUGAAAUCCCCGGGCUCAACCUGGGAACUGCAUCCAAAACUACUGAGCUAGAGUACGGUAGAGGGUGGUGGAAUUUCCUGUGUAGCGGUGAAAUGCGUAGAUAUAGGAAGGAACACCAGUGGCGAAGGCGACCACCUGGACUGAUACUGACACUGAGGUGCGAAAGCGUGGGGCAAACAGGAUUAGAUACCCUGGUAGUCCACGCCGUAAACGAUGUCGACUAGCCGUUGGAUCCUUGAGAUCUUAGUGGCGCAGCUAACGCGAUAAGUCGACCGCCUGGGGAGUACGGCCGCAAGGUUAAAACUCAAAUGAAUUGACGGGGGCCCGCACAAGCGGUGGAGCAUGUGGUUUAAUUCGAAGCAACGCGAAGAACCUUACCUGGCCUUGACAUGCUGAGAACUUUCCAGAGAUGGAUUGGUGCCUUCGGGAACUCAGACACAGGUGCUGCAUGGCUGUCGUCAGCUCGUGUCGUGAGAUGUUGGGUUAAGUCCCGUAACGAGCGCAACCCUUGUCCUUAGUUACCAGCACCUCGGGUGGGCACUCUAAGGAGACUGCCGGUGACAAACCGGAGGAAGGUGGGGAUGACGUCAAGUCAUCAUGGCCCUUACGGCCAGGGCUACACACGUGCUACAAUGGUCGGUACAAAGGGUUGCCAAGCCGCGAGGUGGAGCUAAUCCCAUAAAACCGAUCGUAGUCCGGAUCGCAGUCUGCAACUCGACUGCGUGAAGUCGGAAUCGCUAGUAAUCGUGAAUCAGAAUGUCACGGUGAAUACGUUCCCGGGCCUUGUACACACCGCCCGUCACACCAUGGAGUGGGUUGCUCCAGAAGUAGCUAGUCUAACCGCAAGGGGGACGGUUACCACGGAGUGAUUCAUGACUGGGGUGAAGUCGUAACAAGGUAGCCGUAGGGGAACCUGCGGCUGGAUCACCUCCUUA